ncrna:Pedobacter heparinus DSM 2366 DTF805b RNA
UAGGGGGAUGCCGAAAACCCUUUAUCCGAGUAGGCC